UACGUAGGGUGCGAGCGUUAAUCGGAAUUACUGGGCGUAAAGCGUGCGCAGGCGGUUCGCCAAGUCAGGUGUGAAAUCCCCGGGCUUAACCUGGGAAUUGCGCUUGAAACUAGCGGGCUUGAGUGUGGCAGAGGGGGGUGGAAUUCCACGUGUAGCAGUGAAAUGCGUAGAUAUCAGGAGGAACACCGAUGGCGAAGGCAGGUCUCUGGGCUGACACUGACGCUCAUGCACGAAAGCGUGGGGAGCAAACAGG
rnacentral:rRNA from 1 species